rnacentral:rRNA from 1 species
GACGAACGCUGGCGGCGUGCUUAACACAUGCAAGUCGAACGCUGAAGCUUGGUGCUCGCACUGGGUGGAUGAGUGGCGAACGGGUGAGUAAUACGUGAGUAACCUGCCCUUGACUCUGGGAUAAGCCUGGGAAACUGGGUCUAAUACUGGAUACGACAUGCCACUGCAUGGUGGUGUGUGGAAAGGGUUUUACUGGUUUUGGAUGGGCUCACGGCCUAUCAGCUUGUUGGUGGGGUAAUGGCCUACCAAGGCGACGACGGGUAGCCGGCCUGAGAGGGUGACCGGCCACACUGGGACUGAGACACGGCCCAGACUCCUACGGGAGGCAGCAGUGGGGAAUAUUGCACAAUGGGCGGAAGCCUGAUGCAGCGACGCCGCGUGAGGGAUGACGGCCUUCGGGUUGUAAACCUCUUUCAGCACGGAAGAAGCGAGAGUGACGGUACGUGCAGAAGAAGCGCCGGCUAACUACGUG